UACGGAGGGUGCGAGCGUUGUCCGGAAUCACUGGGCGUAAAGGGCGCGUAGGUGGCGCGGGCAGUCAACGGUGAAAGUUCGGGGCUCAACCCUGAAUCGGCCGUCGAUACUCCCGUGCUUGAGCACUGUAGAGGCAGAUGGAAUUCCGGGUGUAGCGGUGGAAUGCGUAGAGAUCCGGAAGAACACCGGUGGCGAAGGCGGUCUGCUGGGCAGUAGCUGACACUGAGGUGCGACAGCGUGGGGAGCAAACAGG
rnacentral:rRNA from 1 species